rnacentral:misc_RNA from 1 species
UAACCACUCAAGCCUAGCUUGGUCUUGGGGUUCGCGGUCUCGCGGCCCCUAAAAUCAGUGGCGGUGCUGCCUAGCUCUAAGUGUAGUAAUUCUCUCGCUACAGGGUCUAGGUGGUUACUUGCCAGAAAACCCCCCUCUUAC